rnacentral:lncRNA from 1 species
GGUGAAAACCCUAAUUUCGGUAUUAUUGAAUUCUUCGAGGAAGCCGGAGGCUCAGGAAAUAUUUUUACAGGAUAUCAGAAUUCAUCUGGAGUCUAUUAAAAAUAUUUAGAGCAUCAGAAUUGGAGCGGAAAAAUAUUCGAGAUUGAUCACGGGUUAGAAAUUUGCCGGAAGGGUCAAAAAUCGCGUAAACCGACCAAGAAGUUCGAGGU